UAUAUAUAUAUAUACUGUAUAUAUAACUACACACACACAUAUCUACACUAUAUAUCUACUAUAAGCAAAGCUAAAUAGAUUGUUGCCACUGUGUUUCGGUGUGAAAUAUGAGCUGGAUGUGUUCUUGUGAGAUUCAUCAACGGGUCAAUAUUACCUCUUAUUAAACAGAUAAUUACUGUAGUAACGCUAACGUCAUCAAACACUAACCGGAUUAAUGAAGGACUCAUUAAAGUUCAUGAACUUUAUGAAACAAAGCCACUCAAAUGAAGACAGAAGAUCGUUCAGAAGCCAAACGACCUUUGACCUUUCACCGGAUGAGUGAUAUCUGUCAUAUUCUCAAUGUCUGCCAGUAUCAUCAUCAUCAUCCUUGUUCACUUCUCUUUAUUAUUUUUUUACUCUAAAAGCUAUUUUUAUGUACGAUACCAGUUAAUCGUUAUUUUUUCAUUAUUUUUCUAUAUACUGUGUUUUUGCCGGAUUUGUGUUGAAGGUCAUUUAUUUUGCUCGUGAUGAAUGUGUUGGGUGUGUGAGUGUGAGAGAGAGUUAAUCGUUAAUUUUUCAUUAUUUUUUAUAUACUGUGUUUUUGCCGGAUUUGUGUUGAAGGUCAUUUAUUUUGCUCGUGAUGAAUGUGUAUAGUGUGUGUGUGUUUGAGAGAGUGUGUGUGUGAGAGAGAGAGAGUGUGUGUGAGAGAGAGAGAGAGAGAGAGAGAGUGUGUGUGUGUGUGUGUGUGUGAGAGUGAGUGUGUGAAUCUCAGGAUCAGGGCUCUGGAAUGUUCUGAAUCUCUGAUAGUGAAGGAAUGUCGAUGAGUCAGAAAUGAGACGCUCCGCUGAGAAACAGCCAGUGUUUUAUUAACAAGCAGGGUUUCUGCAGGCUGUACAACUGAAGUCAGCAUGAGCUGUAUGUAAUGUAAAGGUCUAGGGAGCACAGUGAGUUUUAUUAGCAUCUGAAAAUACAUCUUCAACAGAUCUACAUUACUUUUUAAUUCAUUUUUAAAAAAAAAAAAAAAAAAAAACGUUAACCAAUUAACUCCAUUUCUUCACUAUUUUUGGCAUUUUUCCAGUGCAAAUGAAAAAUCAAGAUACAUUUACUUGAGAAGCGAAAUGACGUAAGAUAAGAAGUCGUUUUCUAAAAAUCUGAUAUUGUUGUAGAUCUAACCUGAAAUAAAAAAAAAUUAACUUAAUGACAUAAUUGAGCAUGAAUAUUGUUCAUUCAUUAAUAUUAAUAUUGAACAUAAGUAAAAUACCCUGAUUUAUUACAAUAAUAAUAUAUAGUUUUGUUGAUUUAAAAAAAAUAAUCUUAACAGGAAUUUGAAUGUUUGAAUAUUUAAAGCUCAUUAAAAUAAUGUCACAAUGCCAAAAAAAAAAGAAAAAAGAAAAGUUGUAAAAAAACAAGCUUUAUUUACUGAAACUGUCCUAAAAAAUGACCUCAUGAUUAAAACAAUCACAAAACCUGCGAAUACUUAACUUUCAUUCAAAAGUAAAACUCAUUUUCCACACAGUACUGACAUUCUUUCUUGAUUUGAGUAUAAACUCAGUUUUAAUUUCUUCAUUCCGCGUCUCCAGUAAAUGUGUCCUGAUUUAAAGAUGUUCAGAUAUUUGUACUGGAAAACAAGACAAAUACUGAGGAUUUAUUUAUUUUUUGUCUGUCUUCUCUGAAUUAAUACUUUUUAAGGCCUUAAUUUGUGUAAGGGUGAAUUAAGACCCACAGAAACCCUGAAAUCUAAACACUAUUAAAGAGCUUCUCAGCACAGCAGGCCUGAGCGGUGUUUGUCUGCACCGGAGGUGUUUAAGCAGCGGUGUCCGGGCAGGAGUGAGGGAAGACGUGCGGAUGAGCGAAGGCAGCGCUGAAGUCCAGCACAUCACUGACGUGACCCUUAAAGACACGCAGGUUCCUCAUGCAGCCGCGGAACGGCUCUCUGGAGCUCAGACAGUUCUGCUUCACGUCCGCUGCGAGAGAACAGACACACACUCAUCAGACGCUGGGGAAAGACACUUUUAAAAAUGGGGUUUUUGGUCUCGGCUGAGGUGGAGGAAGAGUACGGGUUCUCCGCGGUCACCGUCACGCCGUCUACGGUCAGACUCAAGCUGUGCUUCUGCUUCUUGGCCACCAGGGUCCGCCAGCGGCCGUCACACAUGGACACAGCGCUCCUGCUCCUCGCCGUGAUCCGACCCGCGCCGUUAUUCACGUUAAACACCACC
ensembl:lncRNA